UCUGGUUCAGGAUGAACGCUAGCUACAGGCUUAACACAUGCAAGUCAGGGGCAGCAUGGAUCAGCUUGCUGAUCCUGAUGGCGACCGGCGCACGGGUGAGUAACGCGUAUCCUACCUUCCCCCUACUCAGGCAUAGCCCGGUGAAAACCGGAUUAACUCCUGAUAGUUUCACUAGAUGGCAUCUGACGGUGAAUAAAGCUCAGCGGUAAGGGAUGGGGAUGCGUCUGAUUAGCUUGUUGGCGGGGUAACGGCCCACCAAGGCGACGAUCAGUAGGGGUUCUGAGAGGAAGGUCCCCCACAUUGGAACUGAGACAUGGUCCAAACUCCUACGGGAGGCAGCAGUGAGGAAUAUUGGUCAAUGGGCGCGAGCCUGAACCAGCCAAGUAGCGUGCCAGGAAGACGGCCCUAUGGGUUGUAAACUGCUUUUGUGCGGGAAUAAAGUCAGGGACGUGUCCCUGUUUGCAUGUACCGCAAGAAUAAGGACCGGCUAAUUCCGUGCCAGCAGCAGC
rnacentral:rRNA from 1 species